rnacentral:rRNA from 1 species
UGGGGAAUAUUGGACAAUGGGCGAAAGCCUGAUCCAGCCAUGCCGCGUGUGUGAAGAAGGUCUUCGGAUUGUAAAGCACUUUAAGUUGGGAGGAAGGGCAGUAAGCGAAUACCUUGCUGUUUUGACGUUACCGACAGAAUAAGCACCGGCUAACUCUGUGCCAGCAGCCGCGGUAAUACAGAGGGUGCAAGCGUUAAUCGGAAUUACUGGGCGUAAAGCGCGCGUAGGUGGUUCGUUAAGUUGAAUGUGAAAGCCCCGGGCUCAACCUGGGAACAGCAUCCAAAACUGGCGAGCUAGAGUAGGGCAGAGGGAGGUGGAAUUUCCUGUGUAGCGGUGAAAUGCGUAGAGAUAGGAAGGAACACCAGUGGCGAAGGCGACCACCUGGGCUCAUACUGACACUGAGGUGCGAAAGCGUGGGGAGCAAACAGG